UUGGAGGGCAAGUCUGGUGCCCGCAGCCGCGGUAAUUCCAGCUCCAAUAGCGUAUAUUAAAGUUGUUGCAGUUAAAAAGCUCGUAGUUGAAUUUCGGGAUCAACUUACUGGUCGUGCCUAUGGUACGCACUGGUUUUGUUGGUUUCUCCCUUCUGACGAAUCACGAUGUCAUUAAUUUGAUGUCCUGGGGAAUCAGGACUGUUACUUUGAAGAAAUUAGAGUGUUUAAAGCAGGC
rnacentral:rRNA from 1 species